rnacentral:rRNA from 1 species
AAGCGUGCGCAGGCGGUUUUGUAAGACUGUCGUGAAAUCCCCGGGCUCAACCUGGGAAUGGCGAUGGUGACUGCAAGGCUAGAGUUUGGCAGAGGGGGGUAGAAUUCCACGUGUAGCAGUGAAAUGCGUAGAUAUGUGGAGGAACACCGAUGGCGAAGGCAGCCCCCUGGGUCAAAACUGACGCUCAUGCACGAAAAGCGUGGGGAGCAAACAGGAUUAGAUACCCGAGU